UGCAUGCCAGCGCACCGAGGGGGAGUUGCCUAAGCUCCCUGCUCGCCACUUGUAAACCAUGCACCGUGGCACUUAUGGUAUCCCUUGGUUAUAAAAGGAGGACCCCUGCCAACGGUCAAAGGGUUCCUUUUUGGUUGGUUUUCGGGCAGUUUGUUCGCUUGUUGGUUCUGCCAACUCAUAGCUCGGCACUAGCGCUAGUCCAGAGUAGUAAGCAGCACUUAGCCAAAAAGAGCACCCGGGGAUCCUUCUCCCGGCAACUUGUAAACCUUCUGUUUCACAGUAAUAAAGGCUCAGAGAAGCAGGACGCAGGGUUUUACACCGUAAGGUGGCCCGAACCUGCGUAAAAAGUUGGUGCAUGCGUCUUUGAUAGCGUUCUUGUUGCGUUCUUACGCUUCGCAUUGGCCCCGCUGGCGAUCGCCGGAGCGAUCCCCGUAGCCCACUGCCGAACCUAAAAAGGGGUGCCCACGCACCCCCAGUGUCGGAGCCCCACGCGACGACACUUGGAAACGUCGUGUCACUCAAUCCAGCCAGCGCACAUUUGAGUGUGAGCACGCUUGGUAUUCGCGGGUUGGUUGAUGUAAUGAUGUAAUGUUGGGACAUGUGUCCUCUCUUUGUAAGUUUGUUUUUCUGCUCCUUGUAUGAGCUUUGUAAUUACUCUCUUCUGUAGAGUUUUGGUAAUGAUAUUCAUGUUGCAAAUCCCUGCGAUGAGCACCUUAAUGCAUGUAUGUAUUGAAGUGUUUAUCGUAGGUUGAGAACCUGAGGCUUGAAUUAUGCAAAGGUUAGCAAUUUGGUGUUAAAUUGUGUAGUUCCGGUCGCGAGGUCUUACAGCGAUGAAGAGAGGGAGUAAGGGAGCAGCCUCGGGGCACGAGCAGCACCGGCACCACCACUCCCACCCGCGAGUUAAUGUGUCGAUGGUGUUGGUGCUGCUCGUGGCGCCGGGGCUGCUCCCUUACUCCCUCUCUUCAUCGCCGUCGAAGCCGCGCCGUGUGCAGUCCAGCCGCCGGCACUUAGGGUUCACUCGCGGGUGGGAGGAGGAGAGCAGAGACAGGCGGGGGUGACGGGGAAGAAGACCUAAGGAUGGAGUGGGUUAUUUGCAAAAAUGCAGUCCGCGUUGGCACCUGACCGGUGGGCCCGGAGAGCCAUGUAGGCACGCGGCACGCGCCAGAGCGAGUAAGGGACCUGGGAUGAAUCACUUAUGAAACUUUUAGGACUAAGAUGUGCAAUUUUAAAGAAUUAGAACUAGCUUGGGACAUUUGUGAAAGAAUUGAGACCUCCGGUGCAUUUUACUCCACCCCAAAAUAAGCAUGUACUAGAUGUACUCUUUCAAUCAAUUCUACAAUCUCCAAAAUCAGCAUCCGAAAAUGCACGCAAAGUAAUACUAGACGAAGCAAAAGCCUAAUGCCAAAAGAUUGGGUGUCAUGUAGAUACUUGAAAAUCAUUUUGACAACCUCGUAGAUGUGAUGCACAUGGGAAAGCUUGAAACCUAGGUUUGUAAUGAAAAAUAACACCAUCCUCAUUUCGUUUGUUUUUAAAAACGCAACGUGCACCAAUACGGGUAUGACCUUUAAAAAUAUUUCCUCCCCCUGAACAUAUGUUCCCGCGUUACAAAUAAGAGAACUUUCGCAACAAAAGUAGAGGCACAAGCAUCCCCAUAAGUUACAGUUUCAUUUAGCCCGAGAUGCACGUGUGAGGGAGGAGAACCAAUUUUUAUCACCGAUCAUGUGACGAAAACAACUGGAGUUCACUAGCCAUAUGUUCCCCUUCCUCAAGCGAAGUGCCUAUAAACAACAAACACAUGCUGAAAUCUCCGUACUGGCGUUAGAUAAAAAACUUUUAGUUAUCCAGUACUGAGAUACAUGACGACUAGGCAAAGCACGAGUUUCCUUAUACAUUGGGACAGAUUGUACGUGUCUCGUACAAGUUGAAACGGAAGGUGAAACAUUCACCCUAGGCACAUAACGGGGAGUAGUAGUUUUAUCAUGAGCAUAAUGUGCCUUGAAAGAAUUAGAUCUAGCUUGUUUUCUCUCUUUUUUAAUUACUCUAGCUAGUCUAAAACAAGAACUUACACCAUGUCCAAGUUUAUUACAAUAAGUGCAAGUGUACCUACUUCUAGGUUUAGCAUGUGAUGUAUGACCUACAUUUGCACUUGCUGAAGUAUCAUUAGACAUGAUGCUAGCAGAUUUAAAAAUCACAUUGGUUGGCUUGUUAAAUGUUUCAAAAAUUCCAUUGCCAAGUGACUUAACAAUAGUGGGUGGAUUACCCUUAAAAUGAGCAUGCAUAUUAAAACCAAUUCCGGUCUUAUUUUUACUCACUUUAGACUUAUCUAAAAUCAUAUUCAGAUUUUUGUGCCCUAGAAAAUUUCUUCAAAGAUGCUUGUAAAUAAUUAACUUGAUGAGACAAGGCAAUAUAAUUAUCACAAGCACCAUCCAUGAUUUGUUUUCCACUUCUACAAUUAGCCCACAAAGAAACCUCAUGGAUAUGUGUAAAGGAUUUUCAACAUGGGAAACCCUAUCAUUUGCAUUUUUCAACGUCAAUGCAAGAAAAUGACAAUUAUCACAAGAAGUUGAAUCCGUCAAAUCAGAAGUAUCCAUGCUAGAAUCAUUAAUUUGUUUACGUUUAUGCACAAUAGGUUUCUCAUUGUUUUCUAAUGCAACUCUAAGCUUAUCAAGUGUAUCAUCAUGAAUAGAACGCAAAACCGUAAUCUCGGAAUAUAUAGUCUCAAGACUUGCAGGAAUCAUCAUCAGAAAUCAUAAACUUGAGUUUACUAAUUUCAGAAUUCAAGGAUGCAAUUUUCAAGUCAUAUUUAUUAAUUCUUUUAGUAGCAUGAUCAAGCAAGGAACUCAAUUUAUUAGCACUUUUAAGUAAUUCAUUGCUAAAACCCUAGCCUAGACGCCCUCUAUUUAUAAGAGAAAAUUCGUGACCCUAAACUGAUUCCGAAUCCAACACCAACUCCUCUGUCCCGGUCGCUAUUCGGCCCGUGGGCCCCGCAUACGACCUCGAAUUGAGAUGAGUCCAAAAGCAAAGUUGUUCGUCCCGACGACGCGCACAACUUUCAUGUGGACCACUUUUCCAUCAAAUUACUAUUUAAUCUUUAAACAGCUCUCAUCCAUCCACGGCUGGACCUACAUGUCUUCAUGUCGAUGUCACUCCAUGCUAUCAACUCUUUUUGUGAUGUCUUCAAAAACUCGACCAUCACGUGUCAAAAUCUCCAAUACUGUACAUCUCCGGUAUAAAUAACGUUCGACAAACCGGUGCCUUCUCAUAUCAUCAAAGCAUUCACUUCCAUUGUUUCUUCGCACGAAUGUCCCGCAUGAUCUCGAUCCUCGACCUCAGCUUUUCCCAAGCUUCAUCCCUCGAUCCUGUCAUCGACCAGGUCCUCUAGCUCCGGCAACACCUGAAAGCGAACACACAAAUAACCAGUACGAGCACAAGUCCACGACUUGACUCAGGAUCACUUAUGAUUUCACAACAACUCAUUGGACGGUCGCACCCCAGACCUCACCGCCGGCGACGCAGAUUGAAACCCUCGUACCUCUGCUUUCUUCGCCUCGAAACUACGGAGAGAACAACGAACAAAUCUAGAAUUCCACUGCAAAUAACUUAACAUACAGGUGCAAGAGGCAUACAUGUACAAUUUCUUUUGAAUAAUAAAUUUCAGAAAAUACAUGCUUUCUUGGUUUAGAUCUGAGGCAGAAUUUCUACUCUUUAGAUUGGAGUGCAUUAUUUGAAGAAAGCAGAAGCAGCUGGAAUCAUGUUUCAUACAAAGAAAUCAAGUGAAUAUGGGUUUGCAUACAAAA